UUGGGAACCGCCCAUAUUUUCACAUCAUUACUUCUGCUUUCGUCCGGUCCAGAGAUGCAUGAUGGUUCUUGUUGCAGUGCAGAGUCCAGUGGUCUUAGUGCUAUCUGUCCCUCAAACAAAGGAAAUAAAGACACUGUUAAUUGCUGCAAAAAUUUGCAGCUUAUGGAAGAGAGAGAAAAUCAAAUGUCCCGUUCUAAAUCUUUGGCCGUCUGCUUUGUGUUUGCCGAGGUGAGAAGAUCUGCCUCUUCCAUGCGUUUCUGACUGUCAACAAACCCCACAAGAAGACCAAAAACCUGCAGAGUCACACAAACAAAGUCAUGACUCAUCGUCCACUUGUUUGUUUUGCGUCUUCGAUAGACACCCUACUUGUUAGUGAGGCAAGGCAAUUUUAUUUGUACAGCACAUUCCUACAGCGAGGCAAUUCAAAGUGCUUUACAUAAAACCAUUAAAAACAUCCAAACAUAAAACAUGUUAACAUUGAUUUGAGACUUAAAAGGAAAAGUCAUUAAAAAGAUGACUGUGUCAAAUUGGGCAAAAUUUGAAAUGUGUAGUUUAAGAGAACCAACAUUCUAACGCAGACCUGCAGCUGUUAGUAGGAUCAGUCACAGCUGGUUUGCGUCUUUUGGGGGGAUUGAUGGCACUAGAAAGCAAAUCGAAUAACCCACUCAUCUAUUCUAAUCUGCCAUGGCAUUCCAGAGUUGAUCCGUUAUUUGUAAAUCCUUUCUUCAUGAUCGGCCCUGAUCUUUAGAGACAUUCCCACUUCUUCUCUGCUGGCACCAGUUGCAGCCGGUGUGAAGUUCCUUAAUGCAACAUUAAUGAGCAUUCGAAGGCAUCAUCAACGAGGCCUUAAGGGGAAUUCAUUUGACUGUGAGCCUGGAAAUGCUCCUGUAGAAGAGCAGACCUCGUGCACUCGAGAGCUCAGACGGGACUUUACACCUGUGGAGAUGGAGGAGGGACAAAUGAAUCGACUCUUUGGUGGUUGGUGUGUGUGUGUGUGUGUCUGUGUGUUACUACAUCGCUGCUGCUAUUGCUGUUGCUGCUACUGCUUAUAUUGUUGCUACUGCUGCUUCUCAUGACCCCGCCUCCCUCCGCCCAUCCCGUCCCACCAACUCAUCCAGAACUAGGAAGCUAGAACCCGACCCUCUGCAGUCAGAAGCACAAGUACUGAGACACAAGUGUUUUCCCUUUGUGCGACACACUAAACACACGCAGAAACAUUUGUCCCAACACUUUGGCCUUUGACUGCACAGACCUGCUUUCGAAGGCCACGUUUCCUCCUCCUCCUCUGGUCUCCCUGCCCCCUGUCGCCUCGUUCUGUCUGUGCAGUCAUAGCUUGUAAAUUGAGGAUAUAAAGAUGAAUUUUAUGUUUUCUACAAUGAGGUUUUGCAUGUUACUAUUAUGUGAGUAAAUAAGGUGCCUAAUGUUCAUGUUUGAGCAGACCACACCUCAGUCAAACUGCUGCUGGGGAUCCCUCGCAGGCCCUCUGCGGCGAGGCAACGCUUCUCCGCUGAGUUGGUGGACGGAGGCGCUGGCGGCGGCGGAAGCCAUUUCCACCAGCAGUUUGCCCGGGUGUGGAGCAGACAUAGGAACCCACACUUGCACUCAAAAAAGCUCCCACCUUCGUUGUGCCUCACUUCCAACGGUGCUUUUUUCAGUAGUCUGUCUUUCUUUGUUUGUUUGUAAGGUGCUGUAUAUAACUUGAAUAUAUUAUGCACAUAUCCUGCCCAAUGGGUAGAAACCACACACAAAAAAGAUGUUGUGAAUAUUGUAAUAUAAUGUAUAGACAAUAUAAGAAUUUUAAGAAGGCAGAAUCAAAUUUGUAAAUGCCUACAGUUGAAAAAAAAUAACUUGCUUUGUCUUUUUCCUUUUUUAUGAGAACCUGGUUUGCAAAGUAUGCUUAAAAUAUGGUUGCAACGCAAAUACAAAUUACUACUUAUGAUAUUUUGCUAUCAAUAAUAGUCCGUGAUAAGAAUGAAAUAACCUCUGUAUUAAGCGAGGGGUCGUGAAAGGAUAUUAUUCACUUGUUUAUGGGAAUUCCUCCUCAGACAACAAGCUUUUCGCAGCGCUCGCUGUCAUUUGGAUACCGGCUGGUGGUUUUUCUUUUUCAGCCCAACCGACUAACAAAUGUAAAGUUCUACGCCACAAUCUUUUAAAGGAAAGCGGGGAAAAGCAAGCACUGGUCAGUUGCUGUUCAAUGCCACGACUUCAGCCGGCCCGCUUUGAUUUUCUACUAGUGGGGGGGGGGGGGUGCGUAUCACAUGACCACUGCACACGAGGGCCCGUCGGAGCUUCCCGAUACGGAAGGAGCUUGUGUCCGCACUCUUAGAUCUAACAACCUUUUUUUUUAAGUUACUAUUCAGCAGUAAUUUUGUAUAUCUGCCAAAGUUGAAGAGCACCGCUGACGUGUGAGAAGAAAAAAAAUCUGUUCAAUCUGUCAUAUUACUUUCCUCUUAUUAUUACUAUUAUUGUUAUUUUUAUUUUCUACAUUACAAAUGUUAUGUGUGGCUCAAUAUAUUGAAACGAACGUCACGUUUAACCUGCAGUCGUUUAUUUACAGUAUGUACGGAGAAUAACUACGAUAACCACAGAGCAUGUUCGUUCUUCUCUGUAGACUGUGUACGUUUUCCUCUUCAAGCACCAAAUAUGUUGCAGUCGUGCAGUUUUGAUUUGGAAAAUAGUCUCUUAUAUCGUAACUCUGGCUGCAGCGCCGCUCGGCCCUCCUUAAAGACCUUUUUAUUUUUUGUCUUAGUUUCCUGCACUAGCUAGCAUUUUUCGGACCCCCCCCCCCCUCCUCCCGCCGCCCGCCGCGCUCUCUCCACUUCUCAGAAGUCUGUACUCAACUGCUGACCACAAGUAGCUGUUUUUAUCGUUGCAUAUUUUGAUAGUAAUGAGAAUAAUAACAACUCAACAGUUUGGUAUUGUCUCCGUCUCCACGGUUACCAUAGGACUGCUUCCAUCAUGGGUUUUGUAUCAUCCAAAACUCCUCUCCCCUCUGUGCUGAAAUACAUAUCUAUAUAUAAAUAUAUGUAGAUAUGUGUGUCCAAAACAUAGAGGUAAAAUUGUUGUGUAUCUUUUGCCUCUUUUUAUUUAAGCAAUUGUGAUGUAAUAGGUUUUAGGCCUAAGGUCUGUUAUUGCCAUACUUUUACAGAAAAGACUAGAAAAAAAAAUCCAAAAUUGUUGCUCUAAGUGCUGUUGUAGUCAAAGAUUUUAUGCUUGUACUUAUGCUGUAGUCAAACUGCAGUGUAAUGAAUAAAACUUUAA
ensembl:lncRNA